rnacentral:piRNA from 1 species
CUGAAAGUCAAAACACUUUCUGAAUGGCCU